ensembl:snRNA U4 U4 spliceosomal RNA
AGCUUUGCACAGUGGCAGUAUCGUAGCCAAUGAGGUUUAUCCGAGACACGAUUAUUGCUAAUUGAAAACUCUUCCCAAUAUCCCGCCAUGACGACUUGCAAUAUAGUUGGCAUUGGCAAUUUUUGACAGUCCCUAUGGGGA